rnacentral:rRNA from 1 species
AGGACGAACGCUGGCGGCGUGCCUAACACAUGCAAGUCGAACGGAGGUAGCAAUACCUCAGUGGCGAACGGGUGCGUAACACGUGAGAAAUCUGUCCAUCGGCGGGGGAUAGCCGGCCCAACGGCCGGGUAAUACCGCGUACGUCGGCGAGAGCGCAUGCUCAUGCCGGGAAAGCAGCAAUGCACCGAUGGAGGAUCUCGCGGCCUAUCAGCUUGUUGGUGAGGUAACGGCUCACCAAGGCGACGACGGGUAGCUGGUCUGAGAGGAUGAUCAGCCACAUUGGGACUGAGACACGGCCCAGACUCCUACGGGAGGCAGCAGUGGGGAAUAUUGCGCAAUGGGGGAAACCCUGACGCAGCGACGCCGCGUGUGGGAUGACGGCCUUCGGUUGUAACCACUGUCGCGAGGACGAAGAUCUGACGUACCUACGAAAGGAAGCACCGGCUAACUCUGUGCCAGCAGCCGC